ensembl:rRNA 5S_rRNA 5S ribosomal RNA
GCUUACGGCCAUACCACCACCCUGAGCACGCCCGAUCUCGCCUGAUCUCGGAAGCUAAGCAGGGUUGGGCUUGGUUAGUACUCGGAUGGUAGACUGCCUGGGAAUACCAGGUGCUGUAAGCU